UUUUAUUUAAAUGGAUGCAGCCUGCAUAAGCGGAUGCAGUAUGCGGGGAGAGGGAGUUUUGGUGGUUGAAACCCCAUUAUUUUCGAUUUUUUUUUUAAUUUUGUGGACGUUUUAGGGUGUUCCGUGGUUUGGACCCCCCUUUUGCAGACAGGCGGGAUCCGCACCUGGUCUGAUAUCGUCAAUGGUAGUAUUAAAUGAUGAUCCGAUCAUUCAACUGAUUUUUUAUAGUUUGGUCUUAUGCUGUGCUAGUUUUUGGGAAAAAUGAGCGCACACAGA
rnacentral:lncRNA from 1 species